UGCUGGCACCACCUGGAAGCAGCAGCUCAGACCCUCUCCUGACCUCUGACACUCACCCAGGUGGUCUCCUCCCAGCAGGUGCAGCCACUAUGUCACCCUGGGCUUCUGUCCACCUGCCAGGACUUGGAGCCAAGCUGGGUCUCCUUGCAAUCCUGUGCGCCCUCCUGUUUCCCGGAGGCUAACGCCCACGGACUGCACUAAUGGACAUCUUUGUUGUGACUUCCACUGAAUGUUGGCCAGUGAGAGUUGAAGUUCAAAGGAACCAUGACCUCAUCAUUUGACAACAAUUUCCAUUCCUUGGGCACUAGACUUCCAAACCUGUGGAUCCAGGGCCCUGGGAGAAAAGAAACAGAUUCUUCUAGUGGGUUAAUUGGUAUAAAAAGGAAUGGCCACUCCCACCUACCCCUCUUGGGUCCCGAGCACAAAUUCUGUCUCUGGGGUAGAAGGCCCUAUUGUUGGCCCCAGGGGAGGAUGCAGCCAACCCAAGGCCACCUGUCAGGAGGGAACCCUGAGCUCACUCUGCUCCCAACUCCCAGCCUCCUCCUGAUGCUUCCACUGACUGCUUCCAAAUAGCAACCAGAGAAUAAGGAAACCCAUCCAUGCGGUCCAUGAGGGUCCACCUCGUAAUGCCCAGAAUGAGGUAAAGAAAGAUGGACAGUCCAUCUGGAGGAGCAAAAGGAAGAAAUCAAGCAGAUGGUCACUUAAGUGGGUUAUGUUUUCCACCAAAUAAGUAAAAUAAGCUGGGGAAUAGGGGGCCACUUUGAAUUUGCUUAAUGUUUGUUAACUUUACAAGAAUAUACGUCAGCAUUUGUGAGCAAAUUUGGGUUGUCUCAGACCUGCUGCCCUACCGAGUGGAGCCUGGUCAGGACACUAUGAGGGCCACUCAUGAAUCCAUGGCUAAGGGUCACAGUGGGCAUGCAUCUGAAUGAGUUCCUUUGUGGACAUUCUGCCCCAGGACCCUUCCUGCUAGUGGAAGGGAAAAGGCUAACAAAAAUCACAUAUCUUCUCUGUUUAGUGAGCUAGUUUUAGCAGAAAGUGUCAGGGAAAAUACACGGAGAGCACUCAAAAUCCCAUAACCAGACUUAAACACUCACAAUGUGCAAAGAGGAUGAUGCUUUGGAAAUCUGUAGCUGGCAGAGUUUUAUUUUCCCAUAUACAUCAUGUCACUGGGAGCCUUUCUCAGGUUACACCAAACAUUGACAGAUACCAUCCACAAAAGCAGGCAGUGGCUGUGCCCAGAAUAAGCUCAUUUUAAAAGUUAAUCAUGAGUUGGGGCGCCUGGGUGGCUCAGUCGGUUAAGCGUCCGACUUCGGCCCAGGUCAUGAUCUUGCGGUCUGUGAGUUCAAGCCCCGCGUUGGGCUCUGUGCUGACAGCUCAGAGCCUGGAGCCUGCUUCAGAUUCUGUGUCUCCCUCUCUCUCUGACCCUCCCCCGUUCAUGCUCUGUCUCUGUCUCAAAAAUAAAUAAACGUUAAAAAAAAAAAAAGUUAAUCAUGAGAUAGUGAGUUUGAAAGUCAAAUUUAAUUGGAAAAAAAAAGGGAUUUUCUAAAUUUCCCAAUCUCCUAUUUGAUACAUUGGUAUGCAAGCCUAGCAAAUUAGGAACACAGAAAUUCACUAUUGGUGCUAGAUGCAGAUAAGUGGGGGCGUGGUGUCCACAAAGUUUGCACGCACCCCGAGACGAAAGGCUAGGGGUUGGCAUGUGGUGUGAGAUGUUGGGGAGAGAGAAAGUGAAGGUACUUUCUGGUUCCCUUGUCUCUGAGAGCCUUGCCCCGCAAAGGAUAGAAACUUCUUCAACAGAAACCCAAAACACGGCGGGGGGUGGAGGGGGAGAACCUGAGAAUAUUUGCCUGAUGUCAAGCUCUGGAACACGGCCCUAGAAGAACACCACCAACAGUGGAGACAUCAGCACAGACCAGCCCAAACCAGCCCUGACUGUCCCUCCGGGCGGCACGGGCUGGUGACCCAGAUGCUUCUUAGCAUCUGUGAGAGGGUCAGGGCGCCGAGGGGACCACAGGAGGCAGCAGCUGGGAUCUGGAUGAGAAGCUGAGGUGGGAGCUUUGCAUCCCAAGCCGUGCUGUGAGUCGAAAUGGAUUCAUGGGAUUGAUGUUCCCACCACCUGACAAAUAUUCUCCAGACAAAUCAGAAACCUCAGAAACUGCAUGGAUGAUGCCCCUGCUUCCAUGGCAGCCUCCUGCACCAGCUUCCCAUUGACCGGAUCGCCUCCUGAUGACAGCCGCUGUCUGGGCUUGUGGAGAGCAACCUGAGUGCGUCAGGGACCCUCAGCAACUCGUCCUGAGAUUUCCAGGGAGUCUGGGUGACACAGGCUGCAUGACGAGGGGACUGGGAUGGAGGGAGGGCAGGCGACUGCGGUCCCAGACGGGACUCGAGGGCCGGGUGCUGCGCCACACGAAGGCAGACGGAGGCUGGUGCUGCUGGGAUACAAGUGCCCGGAGGAGCACCCUUGUGUGCGGUUCUGUGACCUCGCCAGGGUCUGCGCGUGCCUGGUGGGUAAUGCAGCCUCGGUACCCACUCGCUGAACGGAUGUGUGAAUAGAUGAAUCUUAGGGAGCAGUACUGAGCAAGCACAUUCAGGGUACUUCCUGUGAUGAAUCCUCAUCCGUGCAUUCUAGAGCCUUGAGAGACAUACGUACACACAGACACAUACAUACCUGUGUGCACAUACAUGUAGGCACAUUAUUAUUACAGAGUGGUAUGUAACAUGUAUGUUACACAUACAUACUAUGUUAUAAUAAGUUUAAAUGGAAGAGAAAAAGUAUCCUACUUAAGAACAUAGGUUCCAGACAUAGAUCCUCUGCUGCAUCCAGACAUAGAUCUUCUGCUGCAAAUUACUAUAUUUUUAAUGUUUUAUUUAUUUUUGAGAGAGAGAGAGAGAAAACAUGAGUGGGGGAGGGGCAGAGAGAAAGAGGGAGACAUAGAAUCCAAAGCAGGCUCCAGGCUCUGAGCUGUCAGGACAGAGCCCAAUGCGGGGCUUGAACUCAUGAACUGUGAGAUCAUGACCUGAGCCAAAGUCAGACGCUUAACCCACUGAGCCACCCAGGUGCCCCUCCCUCUCUGUUCUAAACCAGUAAAGGAUUUCAGUCUUUUAACAGGAAAAUGGCUUCCUUACAGUUAUAUCAUUGGAUAGUCACAAUCACACAGUAAUGAGAGAAAUCUGCUGAUGAAGUGAGUUACCAGCCCUAUUUUGCAGGAUGAUUUGGGGUAAAUACUGUGGGUCUCUUCCUCUGGUUCUUAGCUGUGUGCUCAGAGCGCCCCUUCUUCUUACUGCGACAGCCACCAGAUCUGCGCUGUGAUCAGCCCCGUAUUCAACCACCUCUCCUGACAAGUGCUGGCAGAAUGUGGCUCCUGUCCUGGCUCGUCCUGGUGGCCUCCCUUGGCAGCAUACAAAUGCAGACAUUUUAAUAACACGACGCUUACCAUCCAUUACCAAGAAAAAAGGAAACACAGCAUUUUUAGUAUGGCAAAUAAAAACAGGUGUCUUAAGGAAGAAUGUAAAUAUAUAGUCUUAUUGACAGAGGCCAGACCAGCCUCUAAACCAAAUUCUAUGUAUUUCUUCAAAUGCAUAUGUGACCACAGACAAAGUGUUAGUGAAGAAAGGAAAUGAAGCCAGGAAAGGACAGAGGGAUUUGCCAGCGAGCCUGAGCCUGAGGAUACACCGAGUUAAUGAGGCAGGUGCUGGGCUGUAUGACUGCACCUGCUGGGAUCCACUGUAUGGAAAUGCGCCACUGACACUGAACAGAAGCCCUCCCACUAGGCCACACCCCCGAAAACAUAUACCCACGCCUUUCUAGCUCCCAAGGACCUGGCCACUGUCUAUACAGGACUUGUCUCCUGCAUCUGUGUCCUCAGCAAGGUCUGAGCUAGGAGCCCAAGGACGCAAUCUGUGAUGUUUCUUUCAGUUAGGUCACUCGAUUCUUAUCACUGUUGGGGACUGAAUGGAUUUUGUAAGUGUCCUGAAGUUUCCACUUCUCCAUUGAUGAGAAGCUUCCUGGGAAGGAAGCCAUGUCCAGUGUGCAAAAUGGUUUGCUGAAUGAAUAAUGAAUGAAUGAAUGAAUAGGAGAAUGAUGAAAACCACAAGGCCUUUGUUGUUUUUCUUUGUUUGCUUGAGAAAGAGAGAGAGAGAGAGAGAGAGAGAGAGAGAGCAUGAGCAGGGGAAGGACAGAGAGAGAAGGAGACACAGGACCCAAAGCACACUCCAGGCUCCUAGCUGUCAGCACAGAGCCUGAUGCGGGGCUCGAACUCAUGAACCUCGAGAUCAUGACCUGAGCUGAAGUCAGAUGCUUAACCAACUGAGCCACCCAGGGGCCCCCAUAAGGCCUUUGGAGUGAUAAAAACCUGGAUUUGAAUUCCUGCUCAGCCACUUAACUGACAGCACGAUCCAGGAACGUUACCAGAUCUUUCUCAUAGGGUUGCUGGGGACCGAAAGAGGUUCCACACAGGACAGUGCGAGCACAGGGUCAACACAUCACAGUGUCAGUUCCCAUUACAACCAAACGGCUUCCCUGAGCCAUCUCAGCUAAUACAGGAGCUCAGGGACUCUUUAAAAGUCACAUCUUGGGGCGCCUGGGUAUCUCAGUCGGUUGAGUGUCUGACUUCGGCUCAGGUCAUGAUCUCGCAGUUCGUGAGUUCGAGCCCCGCGUCAGGCUCUGUGCUGAGAGCUUAGGGCCUGGAGGCUGCUUCAGAUUCUGGGUCUCCCUCUCUCUAUGCCCCUCCCCCACUCAUGGUCUGUCUCUCUCUCUGUCAAAAAUAAAUAAACAUUAAAAAAGAAAAAAUUAAAAUAAAUAAAAAUAAAUAAAUAAAUAAAAGUCACAUCUGACAUCGUCCUCCAAACAACAGUAAAGUGUUGCUCUAAUUCUAAAAACAACUAACAAUUGUGCAUAGGAAAAGAGUCAAGGAUAAUAAACCAAAAUAUGUAUUUCCUCCAAGAUUGUUCUUCAUUCACAGCAGACUAUAGUAGCGUCAUGACAUCUAAAGCAAUAACUAUAGCAAUUGUUAGAUUUCACCAAGCUUGGGAUGUCUAGGUGGCUCAGUCGCUUAAGCGUCUGACUUUGGCUCAGGUCAUGAUCUCAGGGUUCACAAGAUGGAGCCCUUCGUCGCGCUCUCUACUGCCCGCACAGAGCCCUCUUCAGAUUCUCCGUUCCCCUCUCCCUCUGCCCUUACCCAGUUCAUUAUCUACCAUCCCCAACUCUCUCUCAAAAAAAUAAACAUUUAAAAAAAUUUCACCAAGCUUUGUUAACAUUCUACAAACCACUGAUCUAGAAAAUGUACAAAAUUUUGCAUAAAGUUGUGGGGUUAUUAUCUCAUUUGUUAUUGUACAGUAACAAGACUUUUCUUCCAUUUCUCAUGAUAACCAUAUGGCUCUCACACUCUCACAAAUACAGUGAAAAAUCUAUAACUCAGGGAGUGAAAAAGAGUUCAAGGAUAGUUGUGUUUGAAGCAAAACUUAGAGGAAAAUUUUGAGUUUAUUGUUUCCAUGUAGAAGAUAACAUUGAAUUAUUAUAACAUGGGUGCUUUAGUGAGGUUCUGGGAUCUGAUCGUUCUUUAUACUGGGAACAUAAUAAAAUAACACUGAGAAGGAUCUUACUGAGAAGAUCUUUCCUUGCUUCUAAAGCCAACCUUGCCUCCCUGAUCCUUGCCUCCUCAGUCCUGAUUCAUGCCCCGCUCUUGGAGAAAAAUCUGGCAAUGCCAUCUCAUGGAUUUACACGUGUCUUUCACUUCAUUUUGUAGGUUGACUAUCGUCCUUUCUUGUGUUUUCACUGUUUUUAUGAAACUUUCACUGCUAACUUGCUCACGUACCUCUGAUUCCACUCCCUUGCUUUUCAAAUGGAGACACCAAGAUGAGAAUCCCUCAGGAUCAACUCUCCUUAAUGCAAUACCAGAGAUUGCACACAUGUUUCAAGCUGUCUGGAGCUUCCCUUGAGAAGAUCAUUGUGCAUUGCUACCCCCUAAAAUAAGGGGAGCCCCUGAAAUAAAUCCUAUGUGGCUCAGCCACUAUUACAUGGAAGACUACGUAUUUCCAACUUGGACACAGAUAAAGGAGUCUUCUACCUGAUAAUCAGUAAGUCUUCAGGCCUGAUGAAGCCUCCUGCUAUUAUCCUACUGGGAUCCCAUGAUGUCACAAAGGCAGAAGGAACCUGUACGAAAACCUUCUCCGUUACUAACCCUCAACUCCUUUCUCACUUGAGCAACCUGCUCUUAAUCACAGGGUCAUAAGCUGUUGGAACAGGAAGGGCCCUUGGACAUACAGAGCCCAAUGCCUGCACAACCAAUGGAGAUACGGGAGCCCAGAGAUGGCAAAAGCUUACCCAAAGCCCGUUAACCACAGAGGUGGGGCUACGUGUGCAUAUGUAAAUAUCGUAGAACAGCCUCCAAGAUGCUUCUUCUUUCAACAUGUCAGAG